GACGAACGCUGGCGGCGUGCUUAACACAUGCAAGUCGAGCGGAAAGGCCCUUCGGGGUACUCGAGCGGCGAACGGGUGAGUAACACGUGAGUAACCUGCCCUCAACUUCGGGAUAAGCCUGGGAAACUGGGUCUAAUACCGGAUAUGACUACUUCGGGCAUCCGAUGGUGGUGGAAAGUUUUUCGUUGGGGAUGGGCUCGCGGCCUAUCAGCUUGUUGGUGGGGUAGUGGCCUACCAAGGCGACG
rnacentral:rRNA from 1 species